rnacentral:rRNA from 1 species
UACGUUAGGGGGCCUAGCGUUGUCCGGAUUUAUUGGGCGUAAAAGAGCUCGUAGGCGGUUCGGCAAGUCGGAUGUGAAAUCUCCACGCUCAACGUGGAGGGGCCAUUCGAAACUGCCGUGACUCGAGUCCGGUAGGGGAGUGUGGAAUCCCGGUGUAGCGGUGAAAUGCGCAGAUAUCGGGAGGAACACCAGAGCGAAGGCGGCACCUCUGGGCCGGUACUGGACGCUGAGGAGCGAA